CCACUACAAUCCUCAUUAUUCAGGGGCAGGAAACCUAAAUGCCACAGUGAAAUGCUUUCCUUAAAGCUCUGAUUAAUACCUGUCCUGUACUGAGUUCUGCCACAGACCUGCUAAUAGAUCAUCUUAGAAUAACUGCAGGCCACGGCUGCUGUAACCAGCUCAGCAAGAUGAAGAUGCUGCGGCACAAAUCGCCAAAGUCACGUUGAUUCCCUUUUGAUUGUGUGCAGUUGUUCUUUACUGGUGGGGUAAAAGGGUCUCUGUGGGUCCUAAAGAAACCCCACGAGCGCUGCCGUCACCCGGGGCAGAAACAGCGCAGGGGUCCCUGAUAUCUCCCGUCCCGGGCCGGGUCUGAGGAGUGCGUUCGAACCCCCCGACCCCACGUUUCCACCCGCUCUCAGCAGGAGGUUCAGAGGAGAGUCUGGAUUCACAGAGAACAAAAGCGGAAUUAGUGGCUCUUUUGUUUUUGUGGUCUCGUGUCUGUCUGGCGUGAGCUCCUUGGGCGAUCGGCAGACAUCGAUUCCUGCUGUUUUUGUUGGUUUAUAUGCGAGGAACGUGCUGUUGUUCUCGUUGACUGAUGUCUGGAGGAUAUGAGACUCUCUCGAGACGGUUCAAGGGGAGAAUAGUUUUGAUAUUCAUUUUUCCUGCUUGCUUUACAUUUAGUUGCCCUGUAGCAAACAUCUCUUAAUGAGAUAAACAGGUCACUGCUGGCACUUUGGGUGAAUCUCACCAAACCUGUCGAGGACACGUCCGGGUCAGAUUACUCUUUAACAUCAAGAGAAAGAAACAAGGAAUUAUAUUUGACAUGAAAAUAAAAUGAAGACUAUUUUAGGGCCA
ensembl:lncRNA